GAUGAAGAACGCAGCGAAAUGCGAUAAGUAAUGUGAAUUGCAGAAUUCAGUGAAUCAUCGAGUCUUUGAACGCACAUUGCGCCCCCUGGUAUUCCGGGGGGCAUGCCUGUCCGAGCGUCAUUGCUGCCCUCAAGCACGGCUUGUGUGUUGGGCCCCGCCCCCCGGCUCCCGGGGGGCGGGCCCGAAAGGCAGCGGCGGCACCGCGUCCGGUCCUCGAGCGUAUGGGGCUUCGUCACCCGCUCCGUAGGCCCGGCCGGCGCCCGCCGGCGACCCCCCUCAAUCUUUUCAGGUUGACCUCGGAUCAGGUAGGAAUACCCGCUGAACUUAAGCAUAUCAAUAAGCGGAGGA
rnacentral:misc_RNA from 1 species